rnacentral:rRNA from 1 species
UACAGAGGGGGCAAGCGUUGUUCGGAAUUACUGGGCGUAAAGGGCGCGUAGGCGGCCUGCUAAGUCGAACGUGAAAUCCCUGGGCUCAACCCAGGAACUGCGUCCGAUACUGGUUGGCUUGAAUCCGGGAGAGGGAUGUGGAAUUCCAGGUGUAGUGGUGAAAUGCGUAGAUAUCGGGAGGAACACCAGUGGCGAAGGCGACUACCUGGCCUGUUUCUUGACGCUGAGGCGCGAAAGCUAGGGGAGCAAACGGG